rnacentral:rRNA from 1 species
AGCGAACGCUGGCGGCAGGCCUAACACAUGCAAGUCGAACGAUCCUUCGGGAUAGUGGCGGACGGGUGAGUAACACGUGGGAACGUGCCCUUUGGUUCGGAACAACUCAGGGAAACUUGAGCUAAUACCGGAUGUGCCCUUCGGGGGAAAGAUUUAUCGCCAUUGGAGCGGCCCGCGUAGGAUUAGCUAGUUGGUGGGGUAAUGGCCCACCAAGGCUCCGAUCCUUAGCUGGUCUGAGAGGAUGAUCAGCCACACUGGGACUGAGACACGGCCCAGACUCCUACGGGAGGCAGCAGUGGAGAAUCUUGCGCAAUGGGCGAAAGCCUGACGCAGCCAUGCCGCGUGAAUGAUGAAGGUCUUAGGAUUGUAAAAUUCUUUCACCGGGGACGAUAAUGACGGUACCCGGAGAAGAAGCCCCGGCUAACUCCGUGCCAGCAGCCGCCGUAAAAC